AGAUUAAGUUAUUAAGGGCGCACGGUGGAUGCCUUGGCACUAGAAGCCGACGAAGGACGUUACUAACGACGAUAUGCUUUGGGGAGCUGUAAGUAAGCUUUGAUCCAGAGAUUUCCGAAUGGGGAAACCCAGCACGAGUUAUGUCGUGUUAUCGAUAUGUGAAUACAUAGCAUAUCUGAAGGCAGACGCGGAGAACUGAAACAUCUUAGUACCCGCAGGAAGAGAAAGAAAAAUCGAUUCCCUGAGUAGCGGCGAGCGAAACGGGAAGAGCCCAAACCAACGAGCUUGCUUGUUGGGGUUGUAGGACACUCUAUACGGAGUUACAAAAGAACAGACUAGACGAAUCAUCUGGAAAGAUGAAUCAAAGAAGGUAAUAAUCCUGUAGUCGAAAGUUUGUUCACUCUUGAGUGGAUCCUGAGUACGACGGAACACGAGAAAUUCCGUCGGAAUCUGGGAGGACCAUCUCCCAAGGCUAAAUACUCUCUAGUGACCGAUAGUGAACCAGUACCGUGAGGAAAGGUGAAAAGUACCCCGGAAGGGGAGUGAAAUAGAACUUGAAACCGUGUGCUUACAAGUAGUCAGAGCCCGUUAAUGGGUGAUGGCGUGCCUUUUGUAGAAUGAACCGGCGAGUUACGAUUUGAUGCAAGGUUAAGCAGUGAAUGUGGAGCCGUAGCGAAAGCGAGUCUGAAUAGGGCGUUGAGUAUUUGGUCGUAGACCCGAAACCAGGCGAUCUACCCAUGACCAGGUUGAAGUUCAGGUAACACUGAAUGGAGGACCGAACCGACUUACGUUGAAAAGUGAGCGGAUGAGUUGUGGGUAGCGGAGAAAUUCCAAUCGAACCUGGAGAUAGCUGGUUCUCUCCGAAAUAGCUUUAGGGCUAGCCUCAAGUGAUGAUUAUUGGAGGUAGAGCACUGUUUGGACGAGGGGCCCUUAUCGGGUUACCGAAUUCAGACAAACUCCGAAUGCCAAUCAAUUUAACUUGGGAGUCAGAACGCGGGUGAUAAGGUCCGUGUUCGAAAGGGAAACAGCCCAGACCACCAGCUAAGGUCCCAAAAUAUAUGUUAAGUGGAAAAGGAUGUGGCGUUGCCCAGACAACUAGGAUGUUGGCUUAGAAGCAGCCAUCAUUUAAAGAGUGCGUAAUAGCUCACUAGUCGAGUGACACUGCGCCGAAAAUGUACCGGGGCUAAACAUAUUACCGAAGCUGUGGAUUGUCCGUAAGGACAAUGGUAGGAGAGCGUUCUAAGGGCGUUGAAGCAUGAUUGCAAGGACAUGUGGAGCGCUUAGAAGUGAGAAUGCCGGUGUGAGUAGCGAAAGACGGGUGAGAAUCCCGUCCACCGAUUGACUAAGGUUUCCAGAGGAAGGCUCGUCCGCUCUGGGUUAGUCGGGUCCUAAGCUGAGGCCGAUAGGCGUAGGCGAUGGAUAACAGGUUGAUAUUCCUGUACCACCAUUAUUCGUUUUAAGCGAUGGGGGACGCAGUAGGAUAGGCGAAGCGUACGAUUGGAUUGUACGUCCAAGCAGUGAGAUUGAGUGUUAGGCAAAUCCGGCACUCUUAAGAUUGAGCUGUGAUGGGGAGAGGAAAUUGUUUCCUCGAGUCGUUGAUUUCACACUGCCAAGAAAAGCCUCUAGCUAGAAUUGUGGUGCCCGUACCGCAAACCGACACAGGUAGUCAAGAUGAGAAUUCUAAGGUGAGCGAGCGAACUCUCGUUAAGGAACUCGGCAAAAUGACCCCGUAACUUCGGGAGAAGGGGUGCUCUUUAGGGUUAACGCCCAGGAGAGCCGCAGUGAAUAGGCCCAAGCGACUGUUUAUCAAAAACACAGGUCUCUGCUAAACCGUAAGGUGAUGUAUAGGGGCUGACGCCUGCCCGGUGCUGGAAGGUUAAGAGGAGUGGUUAGCUUCUGCGAAGCUACGAAUCGAAGCCCCAGUAAACGGCGGCCGUAACUAUAACGGUCCUAAGGUAGCGAAAUUCCUUGUCGGGUAAGUUCCGACCCGCACGAAAGGCGUAACGAUUUGGGCACUGUCUCAACGAGAGACUCGGUGAAAUCAUAGUACCUGUGAAGAUGCAGGUUACCCGCGACAGGACGGAAAGACCCCGUGGAGCUUUACUGUAGUCUGAUAUUGAAAUUCGGCACAGCUUGUACAGGAUAGGUAGGAGCCUGAGAUACGUGAGCGCUAGCUUACGUGGAGGCGUUGGUGGGAUACUACCCUCGCUGUGUUGGAUUUCUAACCCGCACCAUUUAUCAUGGUGGGAGACAGUGUCAGAUGGGCAGUUUGACUGGGGCGGUCGCCUCCUAAAGAGUAACGGAGGCGCUCAAAGGUUUCCUCAGAAUGGUUGGAAAUCAUUCAUAGAGUGUAAAGGCAUAAGGAAGCUUGACUGCGAGACUUACAAGUCGAGCAGGGUCGAAAGACGGACUUAGUGAUCCGGUGGUUCCGCAUGGAAGGGCCAUCGCUCAACGGAUAAAAGCUACCCCGGGGAUAACAGGCUUAUCUCCCCCAAGAGUUCACAUCGACGGGGAGGUUUGGCACCUCGAUGUCGGCUCAUCGCAUCCUGGGGCUGUAGUCGGUCCCAAGGGUUGGGCUGUUCGCCCAUUAAAGCGGUACGCGAGCUGGGUUCAGAACGUCGUGAGACAGUUCGGUCCCUAUCCGUCGUGGGCGUAGGAAAUUUGAGAGGAGCUGUCCUUAGUACGAGAGGACCGGGAUGGACAUACCUCUGGUGUACCAGUUGUCGUGCCAACGGCAUCGCUGGGUAGCUAUGUAUGGACGGGAUAAGUGCUGAAAGCAUCUAAGCAUGAAGCCCCCUCAAGAUGAGAUUUCCCAACUUCGGUUAUAAGAUCCCUCAAAGAUGAUGAGGUUAAUAGGUUCGAGGUGGAAGCAUAGCGAUAUGUGCAGCUGACGAAUACUAAUCGAUCGAAGACUUAAUCAAAUUUUA
rnacentral:rRNA from 1 species